UACGUAGGGUGCAGGCGUUAAUCGGAAUUACUGGGCGUAAAGCGCGCGCAGGCAGUCUUUUAAGUCAGAUGUGAAACCCCCAGGCUCAACCUGGGGACGCCACUCGAUACUGCUGUGACUAGAGUCCGGUAGGGGAGCGUGGAAUUCCUGGUGUAGCGGUGAAAUGCGCAGAUAUCAGGAGGAACACCAGCGGCGAAGGCGGCGCUCUGGGCCGGUACUGACACUGAGGAGCGAAAGCGUGGGUAGCAAACAGG
rnacentral:rRNA from 1 species